CGCCUCGGCUCCGAGAUUCCCACAGCAAAUCACUAAGAAAAUCUCGCUUGGUUUGUCAAAGGUGGACAUGGUUCAGUAGGGCUGCUCCCAUCACCCCUCAGACCUUUAGAGCAGGUGACCCACACUCGACAGGUGGAGACCCCCUUUGCUGGUGAGAAGAAUGGCCUGCAGUUGUGUGUCCUCGUUGCUGCAGCUGGGUGAGGCCCUAGAAUGAGAACUGGAUUGCUGGCUGAAAUGGAGGAAGCAUGGGCUGAUGUCCAGAAGGAGAAGCAAGUGGACGUAGUGUAUCCUGUCCCACCAUUCUCUCUGCACCUCAGCCUGUGGUCAGUCUCAGCUCUUCUUCUCUGUCCCUGGUUGAUUUGAAGAAUGGCUAAGGUGAUGAAGGCACUUUGCCAAUACUCAGUGGGCGAACACCAGGUGCCAGGCGCCAGGCAGUGCUCUAGGCACCAGGAGGGGGCGCAGGAAUGAACAUUCUUUUUCCUCUCUGGCAGAGUCUAGGUGGGGAGGGAGAGGCAACCAGAAUAUUCUAAUGGGUUAUUAGAGGUAAGUGUGGUUUGGUAGAAUAGAGGUGUGGAUUGGUGACAUGGGUCGUCCCAAACCCAAUACACCUGUGUCCUCACAAAAAGAAGAGCCAAGGACACCGCACAGACCCAGAAGUGACACGUGAGGAUGCCGCUUUUGUUUCUUUCCUGUUGCCCUGACAACACACCUCAUAGAAACAACGUAGGGGAAGGGUUUAUUGGGGCUCACAGCUCAGGUUGCGCAGACCAUCAUGCAGGAGUCUGAGGUAGUGGCACCCACAGUCAGGCCCCAGAGCAAAGCACGUCUGGGUUGAACGCACUAUCUCCUUCACUCACCCAGUUGACGGCCCAGGUACUGAAACAGUGCCGCCCAUUCAGCUAACCCAGGUCAGACGAUUCUUCAGAGCCAUGCCCACAGGGCAGUGCCAUCCAGACAAUCUGUCUUUGAGUCUUCCUUUCUAGAGAAUUCCAGAUCCUGCCAAGUUGACAGCUGACAUCAACCAUCCCAGAUACUAUCUCAACCAGAGCCACUAACGCCAAUCACGUCAACCUGUGUGGGCAGAGGGCAAGCCAGAAAAGGUGAAUAGAUCUGCUGGUGUUCUCCGGAAGGUAGAACCUAACUGUGUGUGGGUGUGCGCGCGUGUGUGUGCUGCGUGUGAGUGUGUGUGUGUGUGUGUGUGUGUGUGUGUGUGUGUGUGUGAGGGGGCAGUUAAUAUAUUAGAGCAGCCAUCCUCUCCGGAGACUGGUCAAUCUUCCAAUGACCAUCUGCUGGAUGGAGGGCCAGACACCCCAGAAUCCUUAGAACAAGACAGGCCAUUGACUCAGCCUGGGGCUGAAGACCUGGAAACUCCCACAGGUAACCACAGCACAAGCCCCCGCUCACGAAAGGUAGAGGGCAUGUGAACACACACUUUCUCCUCUCUCUUUUCCCCAUCUAGUCCCCUGACCUGUUGGUGGGUGAUGGCCCAUGUUCAGGCUGGCAUCUAGAAACGCUCUCAGAGAGGCACCCAGCAGUGUUUUCACCAACUUACUUUCCAGGUGUCUUUCAACCCUGCAAAGUUAACCAUCAAGGAGAAGCCUGAUGGAGGAGGACGGGUUCUGCCAGUGGGAGACAGAUAGUACUUCCCACAUCUGUCCCACGAGAUACUUUCCAUAACUAUGUCUGAGCAGCAGCCAUGACUGGGAAGCAGAGAGGUGGCAAAAUAAGGCAGCCAGGACCACCUACCACCACACCGAAGACCUCACAGCUCAGCACGAGACAAUCAGACUUGUGGACUCCACAGGAACCUGUUCUCAGGGUACAGUCACCGUGGUCCAGCCCAGCUGGUCUUGGAAGGCAUGCCUGGAGUCUGUGAUGCUAUCCACCACACCCCAGCCGAUGCAGGAAGCUCAGGGCAAACCCAACACACUCUGACACCAGAUCAGAGGAACCUCCUGUCCCACCCUUUUCUCUGUUGCCUUCCAGCAUUUCCCCUGAGGACUCAUUGCAGCUGGGAUCGACUACGAUGCCCUUCAGUGUGACAGGUGGGGGAUGCGACUCCAGCUGCAGA